rnacentral:rRNA from 1 species
UACGUAGGGUGCGAGCGUUGUCCGGAAUUAUUGGGCGUAAAGAGCUCGUAGGCGGUUUGUCGCGUCGACUGUGAAAACCUACAGCUUAACUGUGGGCUUGCAGUCGAUACGGGCAGACUUGAGUUCGGUAGGGGAGACUGGAAUUCCUGGUGUAGCGGUGAAAUGCGCAGAUAUCAGGAGGAACACCGGUGGCGAAGGCGGAUCUCUGGGCCAUUACUGACGCUGAGGAGCGAAAGCGUGGGGAGCGAACAGG